AGAAUCAACGCUGGCGGCGUGCCUAACACAUGCAAGUCGAACGGGAAGGGGGGCUUCGGCUCCCCCGAGAGUGGCGUACGGGUGAGUAACACGUGGGUAAUCUGCCUUUGGGUGGGGAAUAACAAUCCGAAAGGGUUGCUAAUACCGCAUAACGCAGCGGCACCGCAUGGUGACAGUUGUUAAAGCGGGGGAUCGCAAGACCUCGCGCCUGAAGAGGAGCCCGCGCCCGAUUAGCUAGUUGGCGGGGUAAGAGCCCACCAAGGCUUCGAUCGGUAGCCGGCCUGAGAGGGCGGUCGGCCACACUGGCACUGAGACACGGGCCAGCU
rnacentral:rRNA from 1 species